rnacentral:lncRNA from 1 species
CUCUGCGUGCGCCGGAGGCUGCCGUGGCGGGUGGGCCGCCUGACUUCUCCUCCCGGCCAGUUCUCGAGCGCCUCACCGGGCCUCGCCCUGCAGCCUCGCUCUCGCUGGCGCUGCGCGGCCUAGGGGACUGGGCUGCUGGCCUCCGGGUGCGGGGUGGGGGCAGGCUCCGACCUGGGGCGUCCUGGCCGCGCGAGCCGCGGGAUGGGGGCCCGGGCCGCGGAGGAGGCGCCGCUGGUGUGUCCCUUGGUGGAGAGGGCGCUGCCGGCCCUGCGCGGUUUCCAGCCAGGAAGCUUCGGGAAGCCUGGACGUCUGCUCACUGGAGAUGACACGUGCGUGGGGUGUUGGGUAAGUUGGUGCAUUGGAGCUGGAACAGGGUCAAUCCUCCAAUGUAACUAAGCCCUCCUGUGCAACAUCUUAAGUGACUGGAGGGACCAGUCGGUCUUGUGUUCACAUUGAGGCUAGAAGCUGUCUCCAGGGGAGUAAAAACGGAUUAUUUAGUCUUCAACAGGACACUGCCCCUAGAGGCGUUGCAGCUGUGGCUGCCGUGUCACAUCUGUGUCAUUAGGUGGCAGAGAUUAGAGAGGCUAUGUCUACGCUCAGCGUUCUGCCCCGUGAACGUUUGAAUGUUUGAUAGUCUCACACUCCUGUUUUGUGGACAGGCAUCUGUUUUCCUUCGCUGGUAUCUGGGAGAGAGGGUGGGCCCUGUGAGUGGGCUUUCUAACUCUCGCGCUGGGCUAGGCUGGCCUCUAGGGGUCUGAAGGGAUAGUGGGAAGGUGGAGGGUGCCUUCACCAGGAGCAGCCUUCAUGAGUGAGUUUUAAGAACCUGUGAGGAUCGGUCAGGUCAGGUGAGGUACGCGCUGGAUCAUGCCGUACACCGUGUCAGGAUCACGCAGGACAGGACUGGGGAAGGGUUUGCUGGCGUCUCGGUUAAUAGCAGUAACGGCAGCCGCUUGUGUUCUUGAUUCUUUGCCAAGCAUUCUUGUUAUUUAACACGGGAAGGAGGUGACUUCGCCUGUGAUGGACUUCCAGUGUGAGCACUGGCCAGAGUGACCAGGCUGACCAGCACCAGCCCUGAUCCAGGUAAGAGGUGAGGCGGAGGCUUGCCCUCCUUCCCUGCCUGCCGGGUGCGUGUGAGCGGCUGCCCUGCGGAUGCUGUCCUGGACCUGUUGGCACCACAGACAGUUGCUCUGCUGUGCCUGUGGCCUCGGGGCAAAGAGAAAGUGGCGAUUUCUACACUCAGUGCUCGGGAACCAGUGGGCACUGAGAAUGGUUUAUGGCCUGACAUUACUUGCAACCAAAGCCAGGCAGCAUUUGGAUUUUCGCUUUUGGAAACCACCUUACCUGGUUUGCUCCAUGAGGGAGGGGCAGCAACAUCGCUGGGAACCCUGAGGUGUAGAUAUGUAUAAAUGAGCUGUGUGUGUAUCUGAAGCUCGGGCACUUGUGGGGUUACCAGGAGUGUGCGUCUCACUCCCAGGCCUCGUUCUGGAAACGAUUCUGUAGGUCUGUCUGGGAGGCCUUAGGCAAGUUUGAUUAAGAACAGUCGAGCUGGAUAAACAGGCUGUUCCUUGUCCAGCACUAGUCAUCCCAGGGGGGCGGGGGCGGGGCUGCAACUCCUGUGCACAAAGGAAGGGCCCUGGGUAGGGGUCAGGAGCUGCCUUGCCCAGAGAUGUGUCUGGGUCACUUUGGAAACAGGAAUCCUCUCCCCAAAAUGGGUAGCAAUGGGGGUACAGAGGCCAAAGACGCAGCUGCAUGUCCUGCAGUGCCUGGGACGCCCCGUAGUGAAGAGUGAUGUGGCCCAAAUGUCAGCAGUGCCAGUGUCAGACUCCUGCUAAGAGACAGUAUCAAGAAAGAUAACUUCAAAAUACACUUUCUGGAGGCCUGGCGCGGUGGCUCAGGCCUGUAAUCCCAGCACUCUGGGAGGCCAAUGCAUGUGGAUCACCUGAGGUCAGGAGUUCGAGACCAGCCUGGCCAACUGCCUGAAACCCCAUCUCUACUAAAAAUACAAAAAUUAGCCAGGUGUGGUGGCGCAAGCCUGUAAUCCCAGCUAUUUGGGAGGCUGAGGCAGGAGAAUCGCUUGAACCCGGGAGGCAGAGGUUGCAGUGAGCCGAGAUCGCACCACUGCACUCCAGCCUGGACAACAGAGUGGGACUCUGUCUCAAAAAAAAAAAAAAAAAAAAAAGUACAGUUUCGGGAUUUCAUAAAUUGGGUUCCCUGAGGGUCAUUUGGUGAAUCCGGGUUAAAGAACCCUGGUCUGCAUCACUGUCCUUGUUUGUUUUUCAGAUGCAGAGGCCAGGAUGUGGGCCCAGCCCUGUGCCAGGAGGCUGGCUGGAAUAAAGGUACAGAUAGAGGCCUCACCCCCUCUGGGACCACUGGCACUCAGGGUGUUUGCAGCCUCAGAGCCCACCUGCCCCCAGGGCCACAGCUGCAUCUCCUGCCCUGCUGUCAUUACAGGGAUGGGCAGGCUGGCAUGGGGGCAGCCGCUGCCCCUGCCUGGGUGUUGCUGUGUAUUCCUGCCGGCCAGGGGCCACUGCCAGGACCACGCCUCCCUUUUCAUAUCCCGAUUCUUAAGUUCUGCUAUUGUGGUAUUCUGGUGGAGAAAAAAGAACCGCGUGGCUGUUUUUGAACUGCCUGGAACCUAAGACCCUGAAUUCUUUUCCCCCCCAAGGGGAAAAUCUAUAUGGAAAACAUUUAUUUUAAAAUACAGGAUGAAGUGAAUUAAAAGAUUUAAAUGCACAUUUCUUUAAGGAUA